GCUAGUCGACAUCGUUUACCGCGUGGACUACCAGGGUAUCUAAUCCUGUUUGCUACCCACGCUUUCGCACCUCAGCGUCAAUGUUGAACCAGGAAGCCGCCUUCGCCACUGGUGUUCCUCCAGAUAUCUACGAAUUUCACCGCUACACCUGGAAUUCCACUCCCCUCUUUCACAUUCUAGCGCCACAGUAUCCAAUGCAGUUCCCAGGUUAAGCCCCGGGAUUUCACAUCGGACUGACGACGCCGCCUACGCGCGCUUUACGCCCAGUCAUUCCGAAUAACGCUCGCACCCUCCGUAUUACCGCGGCUGCUGGCACGGAGUUAGCCGGUGCUUCUUUUGGGAGUAACGUCAAAACGCGAAGGUAUUCACCACGCGCUUUUCUUUCCCACUGAAAGUGCUUUACAACCCGCAAGGCUUCUUCACACACACGGCAUUGCUGGAUCAAGAUUGCCCCCAUUGUCCAAUAUUCCCCACUGGUGCCUCCCG
rnacentral:rRNA from 1 species